UCGAGAAUCUUCCGCAAUGGGCGAAAGCCUGACGGAGCGACACCGCGUGCAGGACGAAGGCCCUCGGGUUGUAAACUGCUGUCACGCUCUAGGAACCCCAUGCUGUUAACAGCGGCAUGGCUGACCAAGGCGAAAGGAAGUGGCGGCUAACUCUGUGCCAGCAGCCGCGGUAAGACAGAGGCCACGAACGUUGUUCGGAAUCACUGGGCAUAAAGCGCACGUAGGCGGCUAGGUCCGUCCAAUGUGAAAUCCCCCGGCUCAACUGGGGAACUGCAAGGGAUACAGCAGGGCUUGAGUUCGGGAGAGGGAAGCGGAAUUCCGGGUGUAGCGGUGAAAUGCGUAGAUAUCUGGAGGAACACCGGUGGCGAAGGCGGCAUCCUGGACCGGUAUUGACGCUGAGUGAGCGAAAGCCAGGGGAGCAAACGGGAUUAGAUACCCAAGUAGUCCCUGAGCGGGCUGGCAAGGCGCAU
rnacentral:rRNA from 1 species